rnacentral:lncRNA from 1 species
AGAAUACAGAGUAUACAACCCACCAAUAUAAGACUUGUUGGAAGCAGACUGCCCACCAGUACAAAAUGUCUUUGAAGCAGACUGCCCGCAAGCACUAACAAAUCAAGUGGAGAUCAGUUUACAACCAGUGGUUGACAGAAGCCACAGUGGCAGAGGUUCAUACAGUGCACUUACUGAUGAUGAUUUGAGGUCUGUAAUGCAAGAGCAGAACAGACUGCUGUCACAAAUUUUGGAGCAACAGAAGAUAACCAAUGAUCUGUUAAUGGCCUCCAUGACAUUAAAGAACUGAAAGAUGGUUCUUUGUAUUCUAUGUGAUUAAUGAUGAACUCCAUUUCAAACCUUGUGAACUGUGAUAUUUUUAUUCAAAAAAAUUAAUUUUAGUUAUAAAAAGAUUUUUGCUGUAUAUUAC